UGUAAUAAACCAGGAAAUUUGCGUAAAAAGAAACGAAAAUCAACAAAAUAAAGAUGUCAACAACUCUUAUAAAGUCGACGUUUCCACAAGAUGGCCGCGUGACGGUAAAAAUCUUAUGUUUACGUAAUGUUUUCCCUUCAUAUCUUCGUUAUUACUUCAUCCGCCGCCUUGUGGUGACUUGUGGUGAUAGUUCAUUAUCCUGCGGUGGUGUGUGAGGGCGUGUGUGGCAAGGCAGUGGUGGUGCUGGAACGUUGGCAACACUAUUCUGCGCCCACCCCGGCCUUAUGUAGUCCACGGCGCUCUCACACACAAAGUGGCCGCCGCGCCUGCAGGAAGAGAGAGGGAGUGGGUCAGUGGGGCAGAAGUGGGUAAGAGGG